rnacentral:rRNA from 1 species
GGAAUAUUGGACAAUGGGCGAGAGCCUGAUCCAGCCAUGCCGCGUGCAGGAAGACGGUCCUAUGGAUUGUAAACUGCUUUUAUACGGGAAGAAACCCCCUCUCGUGAGAGGGCUUGACGGUAACGUAAGGAUACGGACCGGCUAACUCCGUGACAGCAGCCGCGGUAAUACGGAGGAUCCAAGCGUUAUCCGGAAUCAUUGGGUUUAAAGGGUCCGUAGGUGGAUAAUUAAGUCAGAGGUGAAAUCCUGCAGCUCAACUGUAGAAUUGCCUUUGAUACUGGUUAUCUUGAAUUAUUAUGAAGUAGUUAGAAUAUGUAGUGUAGCGGUGAAAUGCAUAGAUAUUACAUAGAAUACCAAUUGCGAAGGCAGAUUACUAAUAAUGGAUUGACACUGAUGGACGAAAGCGUGGGGAGCGAA